rnacentral:lncRNA from 1 species
UAUGGCCCAAAGGCGAGAAGCCAGCUUGAAGUGGGACCGAUUUGUCCAGUUGAAGCGAGCGGAUUGGAGUACAGUUAAGGGAACCGUGGGCACGUCUACUGUAUGCAGUGUUCAUUUCACCCCAGAGGACUUUGAUGGCUAUAACCGUUGGAGGCAGGAUUGGUAAUGAGACUCUGACCGAAAACAGGUGCUGUGCCAAGUUUGAAUGUGAAGCCUGCAACCUUUGUUUCCUACCGACCUACAUAGUGAGUGUUAGCAGUGAUGAAGAUAAACAGGAAACCUGAGUACUACCUCAGUCCAACAUCAGAGACCUGACCGUGUGGUGCAUGGACAUCAACCUCUCCCUCAACAUGAUUAAGACAAAGUAGAUGAUUGUGGACUACAGGAAAAGGAGGACCGAGCACGCCCCCAUUCUCAUCGACGGGGCUGUAGUGGAGCAGGUUGAGAGCUUCAAGUUCCUUGGCGUCCAUAUCACCAACAACCUAACAUGGUCCAAGCACACUAAGACAGCCGUGAAGAGGGCACGAUGAAACCUAUUCUCCCUCGAGCCUCAAAAGAUUUUGCAUGGGUCCACAGAUCCUCAAAAGGUUUUACAUCUGCACCAUCGAGAGCAUCGUAAUGGGUUGCAUCACUGCCUGGUAUGGCAACUGCUCGACCUCCGACAGCAAGGCACUACAGAGGGUAGUGAAUACGGCCUAGUACAUCACUCAUGCAGCCCCAGACCAUGACACUCCCACCACCAUGCCAAGCUUCCUGCCAUCCAGGACCUCUAUACCAGGCGGUGUCAGAGGAAGACCCUAAAAAUUCUCAAAGACUCCAGCAACCCUAGUCAUAGACUGUUCUCUCUGUUACCACACGGCAAUCGGUACCAGAGUGCCAAGUCUAUGUCCAAGAGGCUUCUAAACAGCUUCUACCCCCAAGCCAUAAGACUCCUGAACAGCUAAACAAAUGGCUACACAGACUAUUUGCAUUGCCCCCCGGCCCUUCCCUCUUCUAUGCUGCUGCUACUCUCUGUUAUUAUCUAUGCAGUCACUUUAAUAACUCUACCUACAUGUACAUAUUACCUCAAUUACCUCG